rnacentral:rRNA from 1 species
UACGUAGGGUGCAAGCGUUAAUCGGAAUUACUGGGCGUAAAGCGUGCGCAGGCGGUUGUGCAAGACAGAUGUGAAAUCCCCGGGCUCAACCUGGGAACUGCAUUGUGACUGCACGGCUAGAGUGUGUCAGAGGGGGGUAGAAUUCCACGUGUAGCAGUGAAAUGCGUAGAGAUGUGGAGGAACACCGAUGGCGAAGGCAGCCCCCUGGGGUAAGACUGACGCUCAGGCACGAAAGCGUGGGGAGCAAACAGG